CUACAGGCUUAACACAUGCAAGUCGAGGGGCAGCAUGGUCUUAGCUUGCUAAGGCCGAUGGCGACCGGCGCACGGGUGAGUAACACGUAUCCAACCUGCCGUCUACUCUUGGACAGCCUUCUGAAAGGAAGAUUAAUACAAGAUGGCAUCAUGAGUCCGCAUGUUCACAUGAUUAAAGGUAUUCCGGUAGACGAUGGGGAUGCGUUCCAUUAGAUAGUAGGCGGGGUAACGGCCCACCUAGUCUUCGAUGGAUAGGGGUUCUGAGAGGAAGGUCCCCCACAUUGGAACUGAGACACGGUCCAAACUCCUACGGGAGGCAGCAGUGAGGAAUAUUGGUCAAUGGGCGAGAGCCUGAACCAGCCAAGUAGCGUGAAGGAUGACUGCCCUAUGGGUUGUAAACUUCUUUUAUAAAGGAAUAAAGUCGGGUAUGGAUACCCGUUUGCAUGUACUUUAUGAAUAAGGAUCGGCUAACUCCGUGCCAGCAGCCGCGGUAAUACGGAGGAUCCGAGCGUUAUCCGGAUUUAUUGGGUUUAAAGGGAGCGUAGAUGGAUGUUUAAGUCAGUUGUGAAAGUUUGCGGCUCAACCGUAAAAUUGCAGUUGAUACUGGAUAUCUUGAGUGCAGUUGAGGCAGGCGGAAUUCGUGGUGUAGCGGUGAAAUGCUUAGAUAUCACGAAGAACUCCGAUUGCGAAGGCAGCCUGCUAAGCUGCAACUGACAUUGGGGCUCGAAAGUGUGGGUAUCAAACAGGAUUAGAUACCCUGGUAGUCCACACGGUAAACGAUGAAUACUCGCUGUUUGCGAUAUACUGCAAGCGGCCAAGCGAAAGCGUUAAGUAUUCCACCUGGGGAGUACGCCGGCAACGGUGAAACUCAAAGGAAUUGACGGGGGCCCGCACAAGCGGAGGAACAUGUGGUUUAAUUCGAUGAUACGCGAGGAACCUUACCCGGGCUUAAAUUGCAGAUGAAUUACGGUGAAAGCCGUAAGCCGCAAGGCAUCUGUGAAGGUGCUGCAUGGUUGUCGUCAGCUCGUGCCGUGAGGUGUCGGCUUAAGUGCCAUAACGAGCGCAACCCUUGUUGUCAGUUACUAACAGGUUCCGCUGAGGACUCUGACAAGACUGCCAUCGUAAGAUGUGAGGAAGGUGGGGAUGACGUCAAAUCAGCACGGCCCUUACGUCCGGGGCUACACACGUGUUACAAUGGGGGGUACAGAGGGCCGCUACCACGCGAGUGGAUGCCAAUCCCCAAAACCUCUCUCAGUUCGGACUGGAGUCUGCAACCCGACUCCACGAAGCUGGAUUCGCUAGUAAUCGCGCAUCAGCCACGGCGCGGUGAAUACGUUCCCGGGCCUUGUACACACCGCCCGUCAAGCCAUGGGAGCCGGGGGUACCUGAAGUGCGUAACCGCGAGGAGCGCCCUAGGGUAAAACUGGUGACUGGGG
rnacentral:rRNA from 1 species